ensembl:snRNA U4 U4 spliceosomal RNA
AGCUUUGCGCAGUGGCAGUAUCGUAGCCAAUGAGGUUUGUCCGUGGCGCGAUUAUUGCUAAUUAAAAAUCUGUCCUAAAGCCCAUCUUCCCUAACCCUUUCUUCCCAAUUUCCAAAAGCAACACGAAACCAAGUUG